UGACAAGGUUGUAUAUCUUAAUGUGGUGUGUUAAUCUAAAUCAUAUAUUAAUGCAAUGAAUACAUCGUAAUAACACUGGACGUUGUCGAACAACAGCCUUACUAGCCUACCUAAUGGUGUUUUCAGAAACAACGUGGCAUUGAUAUAUUUGUAUUUGAAUCACAACAAUCUAACUAGCAUACCUGAUGGUGUUUUCAGUAACAAUGCAGAAUUGACGCUAUU